rnacentral:rRNA from 1 species
UGGGGAAUCUUGCACAAUUGGGGCAACCCUGAUGCAGCGACGCCGCGUGAGCGAUGAAGCCCUUCGGGGCGUAAAGCUCUUUCGACCGGAACGAUAAUGACGGUACCGGGAGAAGAAGCUGCGGCUAACUACGUGCCAGCAGCCGCGGUAAUACGUAGGCAGCAAGCGUUGUUCGGAGUUACUGGGCGUAAAGAGUGCGUAGGCGGUUUUCUAAGUUCGGUGUGAAAUCUCCCGGCUUAACUGGGAGGGUGCGCCGAAGACUGGGAAGCUGGAGUGUGGGAAAGGCAGGCGGAAUUCCUGGUGUAGCGGUGAAAUGCGUAGAUAUCAGGAGGAACACCGGCGGUGUAGACGGCUUGCUAGACCAUAACUGACGCUGAGGCACGAAAGCGUGGGUAGCAAACA